GUAUUCUUAUUCCCAUCCUGCAGAUGAAUACAUUGAGACCUCCAGAAGUCAAGUGACAUUCUGAAGUCACGUGAUAGUGAAUGGUGGUGGUGUAAUUCCAACCCAGUUGUCUGAGUCCAGAGCCAGUAUGUUACACUCUAAUGACUCCGGACCCUGUGACGUUAAAUUCAGAAACCUGAGAUUGUCCUGCUCCUCAAACUGUGAUUGAUGUCAUCCUAUGAAACAAAGAGCAAGUUUGGGACUCCUGCCUAAUGACACUGUGGAACUGAUCAGUGUCACAUGAUCCUAAUCACGUACAACAGAGACACACAUAUACAUAUAUAAUCUCAAUACUGUAAAGUCAGGUGUGCCAUUGGGCAGUACACAAUCAAUUGUCAAACACAUGGCACUAACAAUUGAGUGUUAAGCUGUUUCUACAAGGUAUAAAUAAGAACGUGGAAAGAAAGAAGUUUGCUAGAUAGAGGAUGCCAGCUGUAAUUUCAAGAAAAUGUUGAUUGCAUGUUUUAGAAACUAUUCCACAAAGCCUUGCUCCAGUACAGAUUUUCCUUGUAAGGUAGCAUGAAAAAAAAGAGAAAUUUUUAUUUUUAUUUGGUGUUUAUUGUUUCUUCGUCAGCAGCUGUGCCGAUGUGGUGUUGAUUAUGCAGUGAAGAAUUAUUUUGAUUAUUGACAGUUGGCAUUCUUCUCAUAAUUUGGAGUUCUUCAUCUCAGAAUUGUUUCCUCACCUCCUCUCCUGUCUGCACAUGAAUAAAAAUUUAAAAGCACUUGCCAGGAUCCUUAUGCAAGGCAGCUGUUAGGAGGAAUGUAGUUGAAAGUUCAGAUGCAAUUUGAUGUUAACCUCUCCCUGCCGUUUGUUCCUUUCUCUGAGCCUGACUUCAGAGCAGUAGAGCUUGUGUGUUCAUCACGAGUGUCUGAAAGGCCUCCCCACAAGGAAAAAGCUGUGCUCUGUGUUAUGGCUUCAUCCCUCUGCAACCUUAUCUGCGGGCUGUGUGCCCCUCUCUCCCAGCAGCGUUCAUUCAGAAAUGUAUUUCAGUGGGUUACCAGUCAGGGUUGACUCACGUGAAUAGUCUGUGCUACUUUCUGUAUUUUUUUUCUUAGAAAAAAGACUGCUUAGAAAAACAAAAGUGAACUAUAAAUCCCCUUUCAGGUGAUUUUCUUUUGCCUUUUUUUUCUUUUCUUUUCCUUUUGAGACAGGGUCUCAGUCUGUUGCCCAGGUUGGAGUGUAGCGGCACAAUCACAGCUUACUGCAGUCUCGAACUCCUGGGCUGAGGCGAUCCUUCAGGUGAUUUUUCAACAGAUUUCUUUGGCUUCCUGUCUUGCAUCUCCUUGAUCUACUUCUGUUUCAGCUUCAGGUGAGACACACCUCAAAUGACCUCAGAAUCCCACCUCAAACUUUCUCUACUGGGGAGUUAACGCCCCUAGAGCUGAACCUCCACAAAGCGGGCAUGGAAGCCAGUGGAAAGCUACCUAGCUUUUCCUCCUUUACCUACUGAUCAGAGAUCCCAGAAGAAUCAAACCCUGGUGUCUGCAGCAGUGAGCGUGUAUAUUUCCUUAUCUCGGCUUUUCCUACUUCCCUGGAUCAUCUCCCCAACAAGCAAAACAUGCAUCUAAGUCCUUGUACUUAGGCUCUGCUUCUGGGGAGAUGCAAAAUAAAACAGUAAAAAAAAAAAAAAAAAAAA
ensembl:lncRNA